CGCCUUUUACAGUAUACCACAAUCUAGCAAUCUACCCGUUUGUUGUUGCACUGGACAGCGAACGCAAAAAGUCUGUUGUAUGAUCACUGCACUGCAAUUGGAGUUUGGAGCUUUAAGCUCAUGAUAUUAAUAGAAAUCGUUUGAGCACUUACGCCGUCAUUGAGCUUUUUGUUGUCCAGUUAAGUUAGCAUAACGAGCACACCGUUAUUUUGGAGCUAAAAUUCCGCAUAAUAACUAGUCUUCAAUCAAUGUACAGAAAAUCAUCAUAUCGAUUAGCAGGUCCAUAUUCUUCGAAAGUGCCGAUAAUUACUGUUAGAAGACAACUUUUUCGAGGCCAAAGUCUUUUGUGAGGUGGUCUGUAUCAGACUUGUUGAGCUGCUGAAGAGUUGUUGUAUUAUGAAUUAAUUAAAGGGAACUGGAAGUAAGCUGUCCUAGAGCUGUUUUGGCCAUCAUAAUGCUCUUAUUUUCUCCAGCACUGUAUGUAUGCACGUUUCAUGGCGACGAAUGAGCUUCUCCGUCAAACCGUGGCAAUUGAAGUUCCGCGAAAGUCUCGGUAUUUUCGGAACAGUUAACGGAAAUACUAAGGCUAAAACUGGCUGAAAAAAACCGAAGAUAGCAACCAAGUAAAUGAAAUAAGUCAAAAGUGUACACAAAAGUAAAAUAAAAUAAAAAAUUUAUAAAAUUGCGAAAAUUUGCAAACACAAA